CUUAAAAGGAAUUUAGCCCCUUUGUCUUCCUCUGUUUGCUUCCCAGCCUCUCUUAGGUGAAGAGGGUUCUCCACCAUGCACUCCCUAACCAUGUUGCACUGCCUUGACAUAUAGGCCCAAAGCAACAGGGCCAAUUGAUCAUGUGCUAGAACAUUCAAAGCUGAGCCAAAGUAAACUUUUCUUUUUUAUGUAAAUUAUUUUGUUACAGAAAUGGAAAGCUGACAGUGCUUAAAAGUAUUCUGUUUAUAAAGGUGCAAAAUUGAAUGUUUACUUAAUCUUAUUAUUUGGACAAUGUCUUAUUUUGCCUUUAACCCUUUUUUAUAAAUAUUUAAUUUCCCAUUAUAAUUACCUUACCAUUGUUUCUGCUUUCAUUAUUUUGGUGUUAUUAUCACUCCUAGUCUACAUCCAUCAUAACUUCAUUUUGAACAAUCCUUAUAUAAAAUAGUUUUUCAUAUUUUAACACAUUUUGUCUUCACUUCUGAUUGGUAAUAUAUGGUACUCUUUUUACUAUAUAAUUGAAUAUUUUUAUCUUUUUUGGAGUAACUUAAGGGGUAGGCCUUGUUUGUACUGGUUUUUUAUUCAGCAGGUAUAUAUUUUUCCCAUAUUUCAUUACUGUCUCCUCCUUUUUUCCCAGCAAUCCUAAAUUCAUAAUUGUUCUUUCCGUGAGCUAGUCUAAACCUUUGUCAUUUUGAGAAGAAACAUCAGAUUGCUCUGUUUUCUAAGCUUUUACAUUGCUGAUACUUUCUAGUAUCUUAUCACUUCAUUCCAUUAAACACAUACAUAUAGACUGGGGGUGUAGCUUAGUGGUAGAGUACAUGCUUUGCAUGCAUAAGCCCCCAAGUUUGACUUUCAGCACUUCCCCCGCAAAAUAACAGUGUAGGUGAUAGUCAUUUGUCUCAUGGCAUUUAACAUAAGAGAAAUAAGAAAGCUGUUUUUCUACUUCAUUUUCCUUUUCUCAGUAUUGGGGACUGAGCCUAGGGGCACUCUACCACUGACCUACAUCCCAGCCCUUUUUAUUUUUUAUUUUUAAGAUAGAUGGACCUCAAACUUGGAAUCCUUGUGUCUCGGGCAUGUGCCACACACAGGCAUGUGACCAGCUUUUCCAUACAUUUUGAAGAAUUUCUUUUUUAUGUUUUCUUCAAAUUCAUAGUAUGAUUCUCUACUAAAUAAUUUUGCAGAUGAAACAUACCCUUAAGUUUGUUCUGUUUGUUUUCUAUUAUGUUCAAUUAUUGCAUCAGCAUCCCAUUUAUUUUAAGAAACAACAUUUACUUAUUGGCUCUAUAUUUUUCUCUCUUCCUCUCCAGUUUUUCCCAGUGGAUGCAGUUGUGUGUUCUGCUUUUCUGGUUUUAUUAUAAGUGUUUUAUAAGUUCAGGCAAAUACUUAUUGAGUAUAUUGAAAGGUGAUUCAAAUAAAACAUGGCAAGAUAUGGGCUUUGGAGCCAGACAAAAUUGGAUUUGAACCCUUGCUCUGUACUUUCCAAGCUGUUUGGCCUUGGAAUUU
rnacentral:lncRNA from 1 species